rnacentral:lncRNA from 1 species
UAUCUACAUUAACAAAGCUAAAAUGUACAUUACACUUUGUUGAAAUCCUUUUGUGGGUCUUGCACAGAUUGAGUUAGCUGUCAUUCUUGACCCCACCAUCCCACAUGUAUACUCCUUUUUUGCUUUAUUUCCCCUCCUAUUUAUUACACUAUAUCCCUCCUACUUAAAGCAACAAAAGAGAAGUAAUUAAUACAAGAGAGAGAUAGAGAGAAGUGAACUUCUUAUGUUGUAAAGUUGUUACUUAUUAAUGGAAGUAGAAGAUGAUUUGUUUUUUGCAGAUUUGAGCAAGCAAAUCUCUCUUUUAAUAAU